rnacentral:ncRNA from 1 species
CCAAAAUAAAUUCCUCUCUUUUAAUUCCUUGACUUGAAGCGCCGCUGCUAGGCGAAGCAGCCCAAAUGCUGCACCCUAGAUGGCGAAAAUCCAGUAGCCAAAAGCAUCACCACCUUGUGCUCUAACCCGAGUAGCAUGGGGCACAUGGAAUUCUGUGUGAAUCAGCAAGGACCACUUUGCAAGG